GAUUAACGCUGGCGGUAUGCCUAAUACAUGCAAGUCAAACGGCCAAUUUAUUGGCAGUGGCGAACGGGUGAGUAACACGUACUUAAUCUACCCAUAAGACGGGGAUAACAGUUGGAAACGACUGCUAAUACCGGAUGUGAUGCUUUAGCAAAAGUUGAAGUAUUAAAGAUGCGUUUGCAUCGCUUAUGGAUGAGAGUGCGCUACAUUAGCUAGUUGGUGAGGUAAGAGCUCACCAAGGCAACGAUGUAUAUCUGGGGUGAGAGCCCGAACAGACACACUGGGACUGAGAUACGGCCCAG
rnacentral:rRNA from 1 species